AAUGGAUGGAAAUCUGAUCCAGCCAUGCCGCGUGCAGGAAGACUGCCCUAUGGGUUGUAAACUGCUUUUGUAUGGGAGCAAUAAGCCCUUCGUGAAGGGUGAUGAGAGUACCAUACGAAUAAGCAUCGGCUAACUCCGUGCCAGCAGCCGCGGUAAUACGGAGGAUGCAAGCGUUAUCCGGAUUUAUUGGGUUUAAAGGGUGCGUAGGCGGUUGGAUAAGUCAGCGGUGAAAGUUUUCUGCUUAACAGGAAAAAUGCCGUUGAUACUGUCUGGCUAGAAUAUGGUUGCUGUGAGUGGAAUGUGUGGUGUAGCGGUGAAAUGCUUAGAUAUCACACAGAAUAUCGAUUGCGAAGGCAGCUCACAAAGCCAUUAUUGACGCUGAGGCACGAAAGUGUGGGGAUCAAA
rnacentral:rRNA from 1 species